rnacentral:miRNA from 1 species
AUUUGAAUUUUAAGUUCAAAUAAAGAAUGAAUAAUUUUUUAGCAUAAGUAAACCCAUGUAAUGUUUGGGACAUACUUAUACUAAAAAAUAUCUGGCUAUUUAUCUAAAACUCAAAUAUAACUAAGUACCCUGU